rnacentral:lncRNA from 1 species
GUUGACAAAAAGCAUACUACCAACGUCGCCAGUCGGCUUGCGUUGGGUUUUUUUCCCUUCCUGUCAGAAAGCGCAAGGCGACGCGCCUGCGCACAAGGAGCGAAAGGCUGGGUAGCCUAGCAACCGGAGCGGGCCUACCAAACCACCCGCCUCUGCUGGAGUUGGUUAAGCCCCCGACUGACCCCGAAGAAAAGCGGGGCUGCUGCAGGAAUCUCAACCCCAUCGCUAGAUGCAGUAGCUUCAGCUGCAUCCGUACGAGUCUCGCUGACUCUGUUUCGGAAGCUCUGUGUGUGGAUCAUUCUGUUUCAUUUCUACCCCGCUUUCCCCCCUGAUAGGACGGGACUUCCAGAUUUUUUUAAAAAAGAGCGAGAAAAAAAAUAAUUGCUUAAAACAUAAGGGGGAAAUACAAUUAAAUAUUGGUAGAUUCGAAGCUUUUUAUAUUAAAUCUAUAUAUUAAAGUCAGGCAAAUAAUAAUAAUAAUUUAUUAUUUAUACCCCGCCCAUCUGGCUGAGUUUCCCCAGCCACUCUGGGCACCUCCCAAUUGAGUCUUAAAAACAAUACAGCAUUAAAUAUUAAAAACUUCCCUAAACAGGGCUGCCUUCAGAUAGGAUAGCUGCUUAUUUCCUUCACAUCUGAAGGGAGGGUGUUACACGGGGUGGGCGCCACUACCAAGAAGGCCCUCUGUCUGGUUCUCUGUAACUUGGCUUCUCGCAGGGAGGGAACUGCCAGAAGGCAGAAGGCGCUGGACCUCAUUAUCCAGGCUGAACAAUGGGGGUGGAGGCGCUCCUUCAGGUAUACUGGGCCGAGGCUGUUUAGGGCUUUAAAGGUCAGCACCAACACUUUGAAUUGUGCUCGGAAACGUACUGGGAACCAAUGCAGAUCUCUCAGGACCAGUGUUAUGUGGUCCCGGCGGCCACUCCCAGUUCCCAGUCUAGCUGCCGCAAUGAUUCCCAAAUCAUUGCAAUAUAAAACAGCUGGGCAGCAGUCCUUCCAUUGGAAGCAGUCAGAAGCCCCUUGGAACAAAGAGGGUCUCCCACCUGCUCUGGGAAGGACAAGGAGAGAGAGAGAUCCGGUCUAGCUUCUCCAGAGAAGGGAGUUCCAGAGUCUGGGAGCAGCCACUGGGAAGGCCCCUUCCUGGGUGCCUGAGAAGGUGGCAGGACCAAGAGAAGGGACUCCCAGCGUAGCAGCAUCCAUCCUCAAGGAGGAGAUGGCGGCACCUCCAGUCCUCCGCUGCCGAAAUAUUCUCACCCUUUUUGACAGGGUUCCUGGUCAGGGAUACAGUGAUACAGGCUUUCCCCAGGAAAAUCUUCCGCUUUCACAUUCUUGCCUCCAGCCUAUGGUUAAAUGCACCAAAACCCUGCCGUAGGAAAAGGUUAAAACCCUAUGUAUCGUAUCGAUUGCUGAUAAGAAAUCUCCAAUGUUAUAUAUGCAAUUGGGGCAGGUCAAAGACAUUUUUACCUAAUCCAAAUAACAGCCUCCUCUUCAACUAAUUAAUAAGAGACGCUAUCUACUCCAAAGUUCCUCAACACAACUGUCGUCAAAAUGAUCAGUAAUGCCCUUUUGCAGUUUCCAUGCAUCUUGGUAGACCAAGGUAACCUUCCAGUGGCUUGUGCCUUUGAGUCAGCUCUGUCUGUAUCGCACCACAGCUCUUAGUGAUGCCAAAAAUCCUAAGCCCCUUCCACAUUACUUCAUGGUAAGGCUAGGGCUACCAUCUGCACCUUUUUAGCUGAACCAUUCCUAUUGAGUCUAUAGAGUGUCUGGCAAUUUCACUAUCAUAUUGUUACAGGAUUGAAGGGCUUGGUUGCUUGGAAUGAAAUCUGUGGAUCCCUUCCAAGCCAGUGGUUUUGUAUUUUAUCUGUAAGAUGGGAGUCUAUAGCAGAAGGAACUGCUGAAACAGUCAAGCCAGUCUCUUUGUUAACUCAGUGGUCCAGCCUGUUAAGCAUCCUUUUAAUAUGUCUAAAGAGCUGGUUAAAUACAGCUAGAUUCUCAUAGAAACAGCUAGCUAGUGAUGCUUCCCAAAGAAGGGGGCAGUCCUUACCCCCUCACCUGGCUGGAUGACAAGUCCUUGGAGUAGGAGAAUAAUAGGCCAGUGGCUAGCCUUUGGCCAAUCUCACCCAUCCAGCUGUGAAGACACAGGUGCUUGGCAUGUUCUCUUCUGCAACCAGAACUGUGGCUUUGCAUUAGAGGUAGGUUGGUCUGCUGUAGUUGAAACAAAAUAAAAAAAUUCCUUCCAGUAGCACCUUAGAGACCAACUAAGUUAAUUAUUAGUAUGAGUUUUUGUGUGCAUGCACACUUCUUCAGAUAGUAUCUCAUACCAAUAACUAAGUUAGUUGGUCUCUAACUAAGGAAUUUUUUUUAUUUUGUUGUGGCUUUGCAUGGCCUUGGAAGGAGGCCUUCCUGGGGGAGCAAGAGCUUUGUGAGGCCUCCCUGGGAGAUCUGGAUCUGUUGCAAGUGUUAAUGCUAUGAGCUCUUCCAUCUUGUGCUCAAGUUGUAUAAGGAGCUAUGUGUUGAAAUGCCCAUGUUAUAGUUGAAUAAGUUAGUUAUAGUUAUAACCUGUUAUAGUUAAAUAAACCCCCCUAAUUUUGUAAAACAAAAAAGCAAAUUGCUGCAUUCUGAACUUUUAAUUUUUUCAGGACACAGUAACAUAGGAGAAGACCACCAUCAUGUGAAUAUUAAGGGAGACAGGCACCUCUUUCACUACAAUGUCACAUUUUUUGCUGUUGACAGAAUGGGCUCGUCCACACUUCCGCUUGUGCCUGUGCCUAGAAAGCACAGGCCCGAGUGGUCUUCCCCUUGCCCUGCUCCUUUCCAAGGGAAAACCCACUCUUUACCUAUAGAUUGGAACAAAUGGCAAUCCAGGGGGAACCCGAAUUGCCGUUUGUUCCAACUGAGCGCUAAAAAGCUGUUUUCCUUGGGGGAAAGCUGUGGGACAAGGUGAAGUGUGGAGAAGCCCAAUGUCCUAAUAUCUCCUGGAGUAAUCUAUGUGCCCUGGUGGACUCAAGGACACUGAUUUUCAUUCAAUCCCAGUAAAUCUUGGAGAAGAUGGCAAAGCUUUGGUCUCCCCACCCACCCUGGAGGGAAUACAGAGCCAGCCCUUCCAUAGGCAGAGUAAGGCAACUGCCUCAGGCAGCUGAUACUACAGGGAAGUUGAGGUAAUUUUAAUCCGUUUUAUUAUUUUAAAUUGCUUAUAUCUUAAAGUAGAGUUGUAUUUCCCCCCCUUGACGCUACUGUUUUAUGUUUUGUAAACUGCAUUGAGAGGUGUUUUUUUGCAGUCAACGGGUGCAUAAGUUUGACAAAAUUAAAAAUAAAUAAAGAAGAUUGGUGGCAGGAUUACUACUGAUUAUCAUUAUUCUUUCUCUCCGCUAGAGGGCAGACUUUGCUCAAGAAAGAAUAAGACUAAAUAAAUAAACAAAUCAAUGAGCAAGCAAACAAUAUCUGGACAUGAAAAUGGAAGAGUUUUAAGGUUGCGGGAGAGGCAGGGUAACACAGCCAUGAGACUGGGCUCAAUCCAAUUCAAUCACUUAAAAUGAAGGGGAUCUUAAAGGGUUCUUAUAAUAUCCUCUCCCCCCUUAAAAAAAAAAUGGACUGUUCACAACCUGCUGAAGAAGGGUCUCUCAGCCACUUGUUUUAAACUUCAGAGGUGUUGAUGUUGAUCUAGGGAGGCAAAAGCACGAAAGAAUCCUUCAGCACUUGUUAGCAAAAAGCUAACAAAUCUAUUGUGUAAUGAGCACCGUGAGUCUUUGCAGGGACCAGUCCCUGGCCAGCCUUGCCUUGGGGGAAUAAGAUGCAGGCCAGCAGGCAUGGUCAGAUGAUGUGAUGCACUGCCCCUGGAGGCAAGCUCAGGAGGACUAUAUAAGACUUGCAUUUCACUGUGGGUUUUUGCCACAGCAAUGUGGUUUCAUGCUAUGCUGUGGUCUGCUCCUGUGUUCCAGUUAUCCUGCAUCCUGGCCUCCUCUGGUCCCUGAUCUCUGUUGGACUUGCUCCUGACUGUGGACCCGCCACUUGGACUGCUACCACCACCCAUACCCUGGUCCUGGUGUCGGACCUGGACUCUUUGCACCCAUGCCCUGGAUCGUGACAGCAUAAGCUUUUGUGGCCCAGUUUGGUCACUGUAGGGUGCCCUACUUGACCCUGGGCUCAGCCUAAACUAUCUUAGAGUUACUUUGAGGAUGAAACAGAAGGGAGGGAGCAUGUCUGCUGACUUUAGUUCCUUGAAGGAAAAGCAGCAGCAGGCGGAGGAUGUUGUGUAUUACAUUUGUAGUUGCUGUAUACUAAAAAAAACAAAAAAAAGCAACACUGCAAGAUAAGCUGAAGGCAACAGAUAUUUGUUUCUUUACCUCUGUGUGCGCAAGCAAAUGCAAUUUGCACACAGAGAUGUCUUCCUUGCUACAAGUGGGAGUUUUCCUUCCCUCCCUCCAACUCUGAAAAGGCAGAAGAACUCUCAUGGCCCAGCAUUCAGCCCCACUUGUGCCUUGGCUUGCUGUGUGGCAAAAUACUGGCUUCUACAAAGAGGUAAACAUUGACUGUUAGGUGCAAAAAUGUCCAGUUCUGGGACUGUGUUUACUUGUAUCUUGGGCUACAUGGCUGCAGUCUUCUAGGUGGUCUGUCAGUGCCUUGGUCAUUUUAGGGUGCAUUUCAUGCCCCCUGCUUCUAAUGAGAGAUGUACAGAUAUAGCCCUUUCAGUGCUGAUCAGUUGGUGUUGGGCUGUACAUCAACCACAUUUCAGCUUUCUGAGUGGCCUGGCAGGGUAGUGCUAUAAUACUUCUUGUCCCUCAUUUCUAGAGAUAGACUUCGAAAUGGUCUCCUUUCAAACGGUUUUAAUGAUAAGAAUUAUGUGUAUUCCGGAUUUCUAGGUGGUCUAGAAAUAAGCAUAUGGGACAAGCUUUUAACUCUUUCAGUUUGACACACAAAUAUCUAGAUGGGUAUUUCAGACCCUCCAAGUGUCCCUAUUUUCCAGGGACGUCCCUGAUUUAGAGAAGCCGUUCUAGUUUCUGAUUUGAUUCCAGAAUGUCCCACUCUUCCUUAGGAUGUCCCUAUUUUUAUUGGAGAAAUGUUGGAGGGUAUGGUAGGAUGUCCUUAUUUUCACUGGAGGGUAUGGAGUUAUCCAACCCGCGAGCUGUCUGAAGGCAAUCCUAUAUAGGGAAGUUUUUUUUAAAAAAAGAAGUUUAAUGUUUCAUUAUGUUUUUAUAUAUGUUGGAAGCUGCCCAGAGAGGUUGGGGCAACCCAGUGAGAUGUGUGGGGUAGAAAUAGUAAAAUUAUCAUUAUGGAAUGGGACGUCCCUAUUUUCAUUGGAGAAAUGUUGGAGGGUGUGGUAUUUAUAAGCUGAGAUAAGACAAACUUCUAACAAGUGCUCUAUAAGAGCUUGAGGGACGUGGGUGGUGCUGUUCAGAAGGUCAGCAGUUCAAAUCCCCGCGACGGGGUGAGCUCCCAUUGCUUGGUCCCUGCUUCCUCCAACCUAGCAGUUCGAAAACACAUCAAAGUGCAAGUAGAUAAAUAGAUACCACUCUGGUGGGAAGGUAAACGGCAUUUCCAUGCGCUGCUUUGGUUUGCCAAAAGCAGCUUAGUCAUGCUGGCCACAUGACCUAGAAGCUGUACGCCAGCUCCCUUGGCCAGUAAAGCGAGAUGAGCGCCACAACCCCAGAGUCGGCCACGACUGGACCUAAUGGUCAGGGGUCCCUUUACCUUUACCUAUAAGAGCUUGGCCACUUUGGGAAGGGGGCUGUGGAUAGAGCCCCAGCUAUUGUGUGAAAGUGAACUAGUCCCUGCCUCAUGCUUGUGAAUCACUGACAAAUUCUUGAUUAGGCAGAGAAGCGGAAGUUGGUUUGGUGGCCAUGGGCAAAAGAGGACUGGGCUCCUGCAACUUUGCAGAGAAAAGGGGCUUUACAGCAGGUAUAGCUUGCAAGACAGUUCUUCACAGUGCCUCUUUUGCAUCUAACAGCCACCCUAAUUUCCAUGCCUGCAGAAUUUCAGGACCAGAGAAUUCUGAAUGGCAAGACUGCUUCCUCCUCCCUUCUCCUUCAGAGACCUCUAACCUGCCCCUGAACACUAGGAAAUUAAUUUGUACUCUGAAUCAAGCUUUUUCUUUUUUUUUAAGAGAGUUCAUGGUUGUUGGGAAAAAUAUACCUAGCUAUCCUGUUCCAUAAAAUACUCAGGCAUUUCUGGCACCAUAAAGUCCUAUUGAACGAGCACACUGACUCCUGCAAACUCCCAGUUCUUCAAAAUGAAAGUCUGGCUCCUGACCCUAACCCAUGAUUAGUCAGAAGAAAGUCCCACUCCAGCCUGCAAUCUGGUGGUGCCACCUCUUACAACCUCUGCUC